GAUGAACGCUGGCGGCGUGCCUAAUACAUGCCAGUCGAGCGAACGGACGAGAAGCUUGCUUCUCUGAUGUUAGCGGCGGACGGGUGAGUAACACGUGGAUAACCUACCUAUAAGACUGGGAUAACUUCGGGAAACCGGAGCUAAUACCGGAUAAUAUUUUGAACCGCAUGGUUCAAAAGUAAAAGACGGUCUUGCUGUCACUUAUAGAUGGAUCCGCGCUGCAUUAGCUAGUUGGUAAGGUAACGGCUUACCAAGGCAACGAUGCAUAGCAGACCUGAGAGGGUGAUCGGCCACACUGGAACUGAGACACGGUCAAGACUCCUACGGGAGGCAGCAGUAGCGAAUCUUCCGCAAUGGGCGAAAGCCUGACGGAGCAACGCCGCGUGAGUGAUGAAGGUCUUCGGAUCGUAAAACUCUGUUAUUAGGGAAGAACAUAUGUGUAAGUAACUGUGCACAUCUUGACGGUACCUAAUCAGAAAGCCACGGCUAACUACGUG
rnacentral:rRNA from 1 species